UUCAUCCUCCUCAUCUUCGUCCUUGC
rnacentral:miRNA from 1 species